UAAGAAUAUUCCGCAAUGGACGAAAGUCUGACGGAGCGACGCCGCGUGGAUGAAGAAGGCCGAAAGGUUGUAAAGUCCUUUUGCUGAUGAAGAAUAAGCGUGGUAGGGAAUGACCGCGUGAUGACAUUAGUCGGAGAAUAAGCCCCGGCUAACUACGUGCCAGCAGCCGCGGUAACACGUAGGGGGCAAGCGUUGUUCGGAAUUAUUGGGCGUAAAGGGCAUGUAGGCGGUUUGGUAAGCCUGAUGUGAAAUCCUGCAGCUUAACUGUAGAACUGCAUUGGGUACUGCCGAACUUGAAUCACUGAGGGGAAACUAGAAUUCCAGGUGUAGGGGUGGAAUCUGUAGAUAUCUGGAAGAAUACCGGUGGCGAAGGCGGGUUUCUAGCAGAUGAUUGACGCUGAGGUGCGAAAGUGCGGGGAGCGAAC
rnacentral:rRNA from 1 species